rnacentral:rRNA from 1 species
GACGGAGGAUGCAAGCGUUAUCCGGAAUCACUGGGCGUAAAGCGUCUGUAGGCGGUUUAAUAAGUCAACUGUUAAAUCUUGAGGCUCAACCUCAAAAUCGCAGUCGAAACUAUUAGGCUAGAGUAUAGUAGGGGUAAAGGGAAUUUCCAGUGGAGCGGUGAAAUGCGUAGAGAUUGGAAAGAACACCGAUGGCGAAGGCACUUUACUGGGCUAUUACUAACACUCAGAGACGAAAGCGAGGGUAGCAAAUGGG